CCUGAAUCCAGCCAAUGCCGCGUGCAGUGAUGACGGUCCUAUGGAUUGUAAACUGCUUUUAUACGAGAAAAAACACUCCUACGUGUCGGAGCUUGACGGGAUCGUAAGAAUAAGGAUCGGCUAACUCCGUGCCAGCAGCCGCGGUAAUACGGAGGAUCCGAGCGUUAUCCGGAAUCAUUGGGUUUAAAGGGUCCGUAGGCGGUUUAAUAAGUCAGUGGUGAAAGCCCAUCGCUCAACGGUGGAACGGCCAUUGAUACUGUUAAACUUGAAUUAUUAGGAAGUAACUAGAAUAUGUAGUGUAGCGGUGAAAUGCUUAGAGAUUACAUGGAAUACCGAUUGCGAAGGCAGGUUACUACUAAUGGAUUGACGCUGAUGGACGAAAGCGUGGGUAGCGAACAGGAUUAGAUACCCUGGUAGUCCACGCCGUAAACGAUGGAUACUAGCUGUUGGAAGCAAUUUCAGUGGCUAAGCGAAAGUGAUAAGUAUCCCACCUGGGGAGUACGUUCGCAAGAAUGAAACUC
rnacentral:rRNA from 1 species